GGGUAGCCUACUUCGCCUCGAUUUC
rnacentral:rRNA from 1 species